rnacentral:rRNA from 1 species
UACGUAGGGUGCAAGCGUUGUCCGGAAUUAUUGGGCGUAAAGAGCGUGUAGGCGACCCGGUUAGUCCGCUUGAUGAAAGUCCAGGGCUCAACCCUGGAAUGCCGGUGGAUACUGUCGGGCUAGGAGUCCGGAAGGGGGCGAGUGGAAUUCCUGGUGUAGGCGGUGAAAAUGCGCAGAUAUCAGGAGGAACACCAAUGGCGAAGGCAGCUCGCUGGGACGUGACUGACGCUGAGACGCGAAAGCGGUGGGGAGCAAACAGG